rnacentral:rRNA from 1 species
UACGUAGGGGGCGAGCGUUGUCCGGAUUUAUUGGGCGUAAAGAGCUCGUAGGCGGUUUGUUGCGUCGGCCGUGAAAACCUGCAGCUUAACUGUGGGCCUGCGGCCGAUACGGGCAGACUUGAGUUCGGUAGGGGAGACUGGAAUUCCUGGUGUAGCGGUGAAAUGCGCAGAUAUCAGGAGGAACACCGGUGGCGAAGGCGGGUCUCUGGGCCGAUACUGACGCUGAGGAGCGAAAGCGUGGGGAGCGAACAGG